rnacentral:rRNA from 1 species
UACGUAGGCAGCAAGCGUUGUUCGGAAUUACUGGGCGUAAAGGGCUCGUAGGCGCCAACUAAGUCAGACGUGAAAUCCCUCGGCUUAACCGGGGAACUGCGUCUGAUACUGGAUGGCUUGAGAUUGGGAGAGGGAUGCGGAAUUCCAGGUGUAGCGGUGAAAUGCGUAGAUAUCUGGAGGAACACCGGUGGCGAAGGCGGCAUCCUGGACCAACACUGACGCUGAGGAGCGAAAGCGUGGGGAGCAAACAGG